AACGAACGCUGGCGGCAGGCCUAACACAUGCAAGUCGAGCGAACCCUUCGGGGUUAGCGGCGGACGGGUUAGUAACGCGUGGGAAUAUACCCUUUGGUACGGAAUAGCCUCGGGAAACUGAGAGUAAUACCGUAUGUGCCCUUCGGGGGAAAGAUUUAUCGCCAAAGGAUUAGCCCGCGUUGGAUUAGGUAGUUGGUGGGGUAAUGGCCUACCAAGCCUACGAUCCAUAGCUGGUUUGAGAGGAUGAUCAGCAACACUGGGACUGAGACACGGCCCAGACUCCUACGGGAGGCAGCAGUGGGGAAUCUUAGACAACGGGCGCAAGCCUGAUCUAGCCAUGCCGCGUGGACGAUGAAGGCCUUAGGGUUGUAAAGCUCUUUCAGUGGGGAAGAUAAUGACUGUACCCACAGAAGAAGCCCCGGCUAACUCCGUGCCAGCAGCCGCGGUAAAGUACAGUGU
rnacentral:rRNA from 1 species